CCCUACGGGAGGCAGCAGUAGGGAAUCUUCCACAAUGGACGAAGGUCUGAUGGAGCAACGCCGCGUGAGUGAAGAAGGGUUUCGGCUCGUAAAGCUCUGUUGGUAGUGAAGAAAGAUAGAGGGAGUAACUGGCCUUUAUUUGACGGUGAUUACUUAGAAAGUCACGGCUAAAUACGUGCCAGCAGACGCGGUAAUACGUAGGUGGCAAGCGUUGUCCGGAUUUAUUGGGCGUAAAGCGAGGGCAGGCGGGUCAAUAA
rnacentral:rRNA from 1 species